rnacentral:rRNA from 1 species
AGUGAACGCUGGCGGUAGGCCUAACACAUGCAAGUCGAACGGCAGCACAGUAAGAGCUUGCUCUUACGGGUGGCGAGUGGCGGACGGGUGAGGAAUACAUCGGAAUCUACUUUUUCGUGGGGGAUAACGUAGGGAAACUUACGCUAAUACCGCAUACGACCUACGGGUGAAAGCAGGGGAUCUUCGGACCUUGCGCGAUUCAAUGAGCCGAUGUCGGAUUAGCUAGUUGGCGGGGUAAAGGCCCACCAAGGCGACGAUCCGUAGCUGGUCUGAGAGGAUGAUCAGGCACACUGGAACUGAGACACAGUCCAGACUCCUACGGGAGGCAGCAGUGGAGAAUAUUGGACGAUGGGCGCGAGCCUGAUCCAGCCAUACCGCGUGGGUGAAGAAGGCCUUCGGGUGGUAAAGCCCUUUUGUUGGGAAAGAAAAGCAGCAGGUUAAUACCCCGCUGUUCUGACGGUACCCAAAGAAUAAGCACCGGCUAACUUCGUG